UGGUAUUGUGUGAUAUGGUAAUAUUGGGUACAUUGGUAGGUUUUACUGCAGUGUUGAUAUGUAGAUCGGUAUUUUGUCCAAUUUAUUUUCCAACGCGCGGGAAAAUGGCGGCAAAUGUAUACUUUUUUUUUAUAGUAUAUCUAUGGCACCAAACAAAGUAAAGGUGCCAGUUUCCAGGUCAAAAAAAAAAACAACAACAAUGCUUUUUUGGCGACAUUAUAGUACAGUUACACUUUGUAAACAAUGCUUUUAUAGGCCAUAGAGCGUACACUUUUUCAAAGAGUUUAAUUAUGUAUGUACUUAUAUUAGACUUUUUGGUUAUUUAAAUGCCAGAUUAAAGUAGAGGAGUAGAAAAAA